rnacentral:rRNA from 1 species
UACAGAGGUUCCGAGCGUUAUGCGGAAUCACUGGGCUUAAAGCGUGUGUAGGCGGAUCGUUAAGUGCCUUGUGAAAUCCCACGGCUCAACCGUGGAACUGCUGGGCAUACUGCCGAUCUUGAGCCACUUAGGGGCAACCGGAACAAACGGUGGAGCGGUGAAAUGCGUAGAUAUCGGUUGGAACGCCAAUGGUGAAAACAGGUUGCUGGGAGUGUGCUGACGCUGAGACACGAAAGCCAGGGGAGCGAACGGG